GACGAACGCUGGCGGCGUGCUUAACACAUGCAAGUCGAACGGUGAAGCGCCUUCCUUUUUGGUGGGUGUGGUUGAGUGGCGAACGGGUGAGUAACACGUGAGUAACCUGCCCCCUUCUUCUGGAUAACCGCAUGAAAGUGUGGCUAAUACGGGAUAUUCUGGGUCUGUCGCAUGAUGGGUCUGGGACAGAGAUUGUUUCGGUGGGGGAUGGGCUCGCGGCCUAUCAGCUUGUUGGUGGGGUGAUGGCCUACCAAGGCGGUGACGGGUAGCCGGCUUGCGAGGGUGGACGGUCACACUGGGAGUGAGACAAGGCUCAGACUCCUACGGGAGGCAGCAGUGGGGAAGAUUGCACAAUGGGGGCAAGCGUGAUGCAGCGGCGACGCGUGAGGGAUGGAGGCCUUCGGGUUGUGAACCUCUUUCGCCAGUGAAGCAGGCCUGCCUCGUUUGUGGGUGGGUUGACGGUAGCUGGAUAAGAAGCGCCGGCUAACUACGUG
rnacentral:rRNA from 1 species